UAAAACGUAGGAGGCGAGCGUUAUCCGGAUUCAUUGGGCGUAAAGGGCAAGUAGGCGGUAGCUCAAGUUGGGCGUGACAUCUCCCGGCUCAACUGGGAGGGGUCGUCCAAAACUAGGCUACUAGAGGGCAGGAGAGGGAAGUGGAACUCCUAGUGUAGCGGUGGAAUGCUCAGAUACUAGGAAGAACACCAGUGGCGAAGGCGACUUCCUGGCCUGUUCCUGACGCUGAGAGGCGAAAGCUAGGGGAGCAAACGGGCUUAGAUACCCCGGUAGUCCUAGCCGUAAACGUUGGAUACUGGGUAUUGGGGGUAUAGAUUCCCGCAGUGCCGAAGCUAACGCGUUAAGUAUCCCGCCUGGGGACUACGGCCGCAAGGUUA
rnacentral:rRNA from 1 species